AACGAACGCUGGCGGCAUGCCUAACACAUGCAAGUCGAACGAGACCUUCGGGUCUAGUGGCGCACGGGUGCGUAACGCGUGGGAACCUGCCCUUAGGUUCGGAAUAACUCCCCGAAAGGGGUGCUAAUACCGGAUAAUGUCUUCGGACCAAAGAUUUAUCGCCUUUGGAUGGGCCCGCGUUGGAUUAGCUAGUUGGUAGGGUAAAAGCCUACCAAGGCGACGAUCCAUAGCUGGUCUGAGAGGAUGAUCAGCCACACUGGGACUGAGACACGGCCCAGACUCCUACGGGAGGGAGCAGUGGGGAAUAUUGGACAAGGGGCGAAAGCCUGAUCAAGCAAUGCCGCGUGAGUGAUGAAGGCCUUAGGGUUGUAAAGCCCUUUUACCCGGGAGGAGAAUGAGAGUACCGGGAAAAUAAGCUCCGGCUAACUCCGUG
rnacentral:rRNA from 1 species